GACGAACGCUGGCGGCGUGCCUAAUACAUGCAAGUAGAACGCUGAAGAGAGGAGCUUGCUCUUCUUGGAUGAGUUGCGAACGGGUGAGUAACGCGUAGGUAACCUGCCUGGUAGCGGGGGAUAACUAUUGGAAACGAUAGCUAAUACCGCAUAAAAUUGAUUAUUGCAUGAUAAUUAAUUGAAAGAUGCAAUUGCAUCACUACCAGAUGGACCUGCGUUGUAUUAGCUAGUUGGUGAGGUAACGGCUCACCAAGGCGACGAUACAUAGCCGACCUGAGAGGGUGAUCGGCCACACUGGGACUGAGACACGGCCCAGACUCCUACGGGAGGCAGCAGUAGGGAAUCUUCGGCAAUGGGGGGAACCCUGACCGAGCAACGCCGCGUGAGUGAAGAAGGUUUUCGGAUCGUAAAGCUCUGUUGUAAGAGAAGAACGGGUGUGAGAGUGGAAAGUUCACACUGUGACGGUAUCUUACCAGAAAGGGACGGCUAACUACGUGCCAGCAGCCGCGGUAAUACGUAGGUCCCGAGCGUUGUCCGGAUUUAUUGGGCGUAAAGCGAGCGCAGGCGGUUAGAUAAGUCUGAAGUUAAAGGCUGUGGCUUAACCAUAGUAUGCUUUGGAAACUGUUUAACUUGAGUGCAGAAGGGGAGAGUGGAAUUCCAUGUGUAGCGGUGAAAUGCGUAGAUAUAUGGAGGAACACCGGUGGCGAAAGCGGCUCUCUGGUCUGUAACUGACGCUGAGGCUCGAAAGCGUGGGGGGCAAACAGGAUUAGAUACCCUGGUAGUCCACGCCGUAAACGAUGAGUGCUAGGUGUUAGGCCCUUUCCGGGGCUUAGUGCCGCAGCUAACGCAUUAAGCACUCCGCCUGGGGAGUACGACCGCAAGGUUGAAACUCAAAGGAAUUGACGGGGGCCCGCACAAGCGGUGGAGCAUGUGGUUUAAUUCGAAGCAACGCGAAGAACCUUACCAGGUCUUGACAUCCCUCUGACCGCUCUAGAGAUAGAGUUUUCCUUCGGGACAGAGGUGACAGGUGGUGCAUGGUUGUCGUCAGCUCGUGUCGUGAGAUGUUGGGUUAAGUCCCGCAACGAGCGCAACCCCUAUUGUUAGUUGCCAUCAUUCAGUUGGGCACUCUAGCGAGACUGCCGGUAAUAAACCGGAGGAAGGUGGGGAUGACGUCAAAUCAUCAUGCCCCUUAUGACCUGGGCUACACACGUGCUACAAUGGCUGGUACAACGAGUCGCAAGCCGGUGACGGCAAGCUAAUCUCUGAAAGCCAGUCUCAGUUCGGAUUGUAGGCUGCAACUCGCCUACAUGAAGUCGGAAUCGCUAGUAAUCGCGGAUCAGCACGCCGCGGUGAAUACGUUCCCGGGCCU
rnacentral:rRNA from 1 species